UAUUCUGCCCUACGGGGAAGGAUGAGAAGGUUCGACUCGAGCGUAGCGAGAGAACGUGGCCGCAGGCAACGGCCCGAAGGGCGAGGCGCUUUAGCGCCGAGUCAUCCUUCCCCCACCGCUG
rnacentral:sRNA from 1 species